rnacentral:lncRNA from 1 species
UUUACAUACGGUGAAAGUUAAACCUGGACCAGUAGCCUUAACCUGUAUAAACUUAUUGACCAAUUUACAACCGCAAGUGAGAUAACAUAUAGCGAAAAUAAUAAUACCAACAAAAAGUGCUUUAAAAUUGACAUAGAAAUAGAAUACAACAUCUGAUAUUUUUUAGUAAGAAAAAAUACUACCUAGGAUUUUUUUUUGAAUGUUUACUAUCUAUCAGGCAAUGUUUUAGCUCUUUACAAGAAUCAACUUAUUUAAAUUUCAGAACAGUUCUCUGAGUAAAGUACUCUUAGUUUCCUUAUCUUAUAGACUAGAGAGCAGAAACACAUAAAUCUUAAGUAAUUAGCAAAUGUCAUGCUACCCGUAAGAAUUUGGGGUAUGUUUCAAGACCCACUCUAUGAUCCCAGUUAACUCUUAUUUUCUUUUCAAAAAAAAAUUGUUUUGGACCUAGAAUAAUUAAUUAUCUUCAGACUUCAAAAGAUAGCCAGAAAAUGGUUUAAAAAAAAAAAAAAGAGGAGGAAGUAGAGGAAGUAGGGAGAAGAAGGGGGCAGGUGAAAAAGAAAGUAAAAUUCAAAAUUGGUAAGCUGACUGCAAAGUAUUCCCAAACUCAUUUAAUGCAAGUUAAGUUUCAAGGUCAAAACACUGUCAACUAAAGGCCAAGAAAGCAAACAAACACAUAAAUUUGAAGUUCUAUUAGAGAAUAGAAUAAAUUCCAAAAUCUAAUAGUAGCUUUAUUUUUUAAACAUAGGACAUGUUGCUGAAAUGGAAACCAAGGCUGACUUGGACAAAAUUCUAUUUUUAAAUUUUUAGAAUUUUUUUAAAAAUUGAAUGUGGUUGAUUUACAAUGUUUCUCCAAUUUCUGUUGUACUGCAAAGUGACCCAAUCGCACACAGUUCCCUGUGCUGUACUGUAGGACUCCAUUGCCCAUCCAUUCCAAAUAUAAUAGUAGAGGUAUACUUUGAAAAUACUGUGGGUUUGGUUCCACAAUAUUUGUGGAAUAUUAUUAUUCACCACUACAAUAAAGUGAAUAUUGCAAUAAAGUUAGUCUCACACAAAUCAUUUGGCUUCCCAGUGCAUAUCAAAGUUAUGUUUAUACUAUGCUAUAGUCUAUUAAGUGUGCAAUAGUAUUAUGCCUAAAAGAAACAAUGUACAUACCUUAAUUAAAAAAUAUUUUAUUGCUAAAAAAUGCUAACCAUCAUCUGAGCCUUCAGUGAGUCAUGAUUUUUUGCAACAGUAACAUCAAAGAUCACUAAUCACACAUCAUCAUAACAUGUAAUAAUAAUGAAAAAGCUGAAAAUAUUGUAAGAAUCACCAGGAAGUAAACACAUUCUGUUGGAAAAUGGCACUCAGAAUUGCUUGAUGCCAGAUUACCACAAACCUUCAAUUUGUAAAAAAAAAACAAAAACAAAAAAAAAUGCAGUAUCUGUGAGGCACAAAAAAAGACAGCACAAUAUAAGGAGGUCUGCCUGUAAUUAAAAAUGGAACUGGUGUCCUCUAGUAUAUGAGCUCCCUGUUAUGCUGAUGGAGUAAUUCCUAUGAACUUCAGUCAAGGUCCUAGAGGCAGAGCCCUCUACAUAAGGACUUGGGCCAGGUGAAACCCCUGACUAUUUGCUUUAGGAGAAAUAAGUGAGGGCUUGAUGACAAAGUAUUAGGUAGAUUUAUAUGAUUGAUAGACUAUGUUCAGAGUUCAAUUAAGAAUCAUUAACAAUUGAUAAUUCUCAAUUAAAGCUAUUAUAAUUUCUUCUCUGUUUUAUCUCAGCACAUAACAGGCAUUCAACAAAUAUUUGCUGGAUUUUUUAAUGAAUGCAGGCAGAUAUAAAAUGGUCUAACACAGGUCUUGGGAUGCUCUGCAUGACAUAUUUAUUUGUAGCCUACAUGAUGCAUUAGCCAUAUGUCAGACACAUUUACAAAUAAAUGGAGAAGGAAAGGGUAAGUGGAUGCCUUAGAUGUGACAAUAAAGAUUUGCCUUUUCAGGAACUGGUCUAUUUGACAGUUUUUAAUAAGUAUAAAUGUGUAUUUACUUUCAGUUUGCAAUUUAAAAGAUACUGGCCUUUUCUUACUGGUGAUAUUUAUUCCUCCGAAUCCACCACUAAUUCAUGGGCAACAUCUUCGCAAUAGAUCCAAAGUGACAUAUACUGUUGAGAGAUUCAGUGAAACAUUCUCAACUUGUAGGUAUUUCCCUGGUUUCUGUGUAAACACCAUACUGACUAUAAAAUUGCUUCUGGGAUUUAUGUCAUUGCAUUUCCUUGUCCCCUUUUAUUAAAUUGGCUUACUUUCUCUACACAUUCUUGACUGCUCUUGGACUCUCUACUGUAUCAACUAUCACUUGAUAUAUUAUUGUUACAGUCACUCUGGUCAUUUUCUCAUUUCCUAGCUGAAAACUAAAGUGACUUGAUUGUUGAGGUUCAGCCCUGCAACUGACACUCUCAAGUGAGGUAGGGACUUACUAUUAAAUAUAUGAUAUAUUUUGAAAUCAAGUAAAUGAGAAAGGAACUAUGCCUUUACCAAUGAAACUGGAUAUUGCAUUACAUGAAAGGAAUAUUUAGUGUGGAUGUGGGGAUAAAUCAUAAAGCAGCAUUAUCAUACACAUGCACAUACACACACACACACACACACACACACACACACACACACACUCUCACAUACAGACAAGUUCAGCCUGGCACAUGCCAAAAUGAUAUGGAAAAAUGAUGAGAAAACUUGGGGUUUUAUUGCUACUUCAAUAAGUUUAAAUGAAAUUACCAUUCUAUUCUCAAUUGUUUCAUUCGAGCACACAAAAAUUCUUGGCUAUUACAGGCUCUUGUUGAAAUCAUCAUUGCCAAAUCAAUAGGGAAGAAAUCAAAAGAAGGGCAUAAUAUAGGCUUAAUUUCAUGCAGAAAAAAAAAAUCACUGUAACAGACAUAACAUGUGACACAUUUAGGAUAUAGAAUGGCAGUAAGAUGAUUUGAAGCAAACCUGAAAGAAGGAUUUGCAGCAGGAAAAGGCUGAGCUAAGGAGGUUAAAGAGAAUUCAGGACUGUGAGAAUGAAGGCACCCAGCAGAGCUGUGGCCUUCAGCAGAAAUUGUUUGCAUCAAAUGAAUGUUUGCUCAAAUUACAAAGAGCAAAGGCACAUGGACCACAAGUGUUUGUCUCAGAGCGCAAACAAUCAGCACAAGAUAUUUUAUGGAAAAAAUUUAAUUGCCUCAGAUGGAAAGACUAUUAAAGGAAGGAGUCUAAAACAAUAUAUUUCCAAUGGAUCAAACUUCUACCAGAAAUGCCAUUUUACUUUUGAUCCUUAUAUGGUCCCCAAGUCACUACUGAAACCAAGGCUACGUCAUGACACGUGCUUUAAAAGUGGAUAAAUAUUGGUUAACUCUGUUUCUCUGUAACCCAACUAUUUCAUUACUCUGGCAAGCAGAGACAACUCUGCCUCUUUAGAUGGCCGUGAAUAUUACCUCUUGGAAUUAUAAUCAAAAGUCUUCUAGUUCACAAAUAUAAUUGUGGUUACAACUAACAAGACUGAACAACGAUUGAUUAUUGAGGUUUAUACAUAUAACUGCUUUGAACUUUAUUAAAAGGCAAAUUACUUUAUUAAAAUGCUCAAAGUUCCAAUUUCUUAAACCAUUUUCUCUAUAGCAACCUAAUGAACUUAAAACCUUUUUAAAGAAGGCCAUUAACGGUUUUUACUGGCUACUGUGAGAAUGUUAAAUAUAGCCCUUAAACAUACCCUAGCUUACAGCAUAAGAUUACAUACAUAUGUAUUUCGAACACAAUAACUACAUGUGAAUAUAAAUCAAUGUUUAAAUUUCUCUUUAUCCGAAGAAAAACACAACCUCCAACCACAUAUCAAUGUUGAUAGAGUUAGCAUGAUUUCACAGCAAAUCUAAGAUGUAAGAAAUUAACCAUCUUGGGCUACCAUUCACACAGCAUACAAGACAAAAAUAGAAUUCAUGAUCCAGUUCUAACCCAAAUGGAACAUUAUAUCAAGUUCAUUAAUAAUUUCCUUACCAGAGUUCCCGUGGAAGCUCAGUGGUUAACGAACCCAACUAGUAUCCACAAGGAUGCGCGUUCAAUCCCUGGCCUC